GUUGGAAUCGAGGGUUGCAACUCGCCCUCGUGAACGCGGAAUCCCUAGUAACCGCCCGUUACCACCGGGCGGUGAAUACGUCCCCGCUCCUUGCACACACUGCCCAUCGCUCCACCCGAGCUGAGAAUGGGCGAGAGCCACUCAAGUUGGGUGGCCCGAGCCUAGACUCGGUGAGGGGGGAGAAGUUGUAACAAGGUGGCCGCACGGGAACGUGUGGCCGGAUCACCUCCUAU
rnacentral:rRNA from 1 species